UUCUAAUAGAUUUUAUUAUUAGUAAUAUCUGCUCAAUGAAAUUUUCAAUAGCCGCAUUUGUGCUAAGGUAGCAUAAUCACUUGUCUUUUAAUUUUAGACUAGAAUGAAAGAUUUAACAUUUAAAUCACCUUAUUUAUUAUCAACUUUUAAAUUAUUUUAAAUAUUAAAAAAUAUUUAUACAAUAGAAAGACGACAAGACCCUUUCGAACUUCACUUUAGUUUAACUGGGGCAGUUUAAAAAAUAUUAAUUUUUACUCUUAUAUUUACUCAAUAACCCAAAAAAUUUGAUUAAUUAAGUUACCGAAGGGAUAACAGCGUAAUUAAUUUCUUAAGAUCUUAUAAAAAAAUUAGAUUGCGACCUCGAUGUUGAAUAUAUUCCUAUUUCAUGAAAAAGUAAAAAAAGGAAGUCUGUUCGACUUUUAAAUAUUUACA
rnacentral:rRNA from 1 species